UCCCUCUCAGGGUCAGCCCUGGAGAGUUUCCAGUACUCUACCAACCUUGGCUAUGGGAGGGAGAGUCAAGCAGAGGCCUACCCAUUCCAUUCCUAGCUUGGCCAGUGGCUAGCGAUUGGAAAGCAAUCUGCUACAAGU